GACGAACGCUGGCGGCGUGCCUAAUACAUGCAAGUUGAGCGCUGAAGGUUGGUACUUGUACCGACUGGCUGAGCAGCGAACGGGUGAGUAACGCGUGGGGAAUCUGCCUUUGAGCGGGGGACAACAUUUGGAGACGAAUGCUAAUACCGCAUAAAAACUUUAAACACAAGUUUUAAGUUUGAAAGAUGCAAUUGCAUCACUCAAAGAUGAUCCCGCGUUGUAUUAGCUAGUUGGUGAGGUAAAGGCUCACCAAGGCGAUGAUACAUAGCCGACCUGAGAGGGUGAUCGGCCACAUUGGGACUGAGACACGGCCCAAACUCCUACGGGAGGCAGCGGUAGGGAAUCUUCGGCAAUGGACGAAAGUCUGACCGAGCAACGCCGCGUGAGUGAAGAAGGUUUUCGGAUCGUAAAACUCUGUUGGUAGAGAAGAACGUUGGUGAGAGUGGAAAGCUCAUCAAGUGACGGUAACUACCCAGAAAGGGACGGCUAACUACGUG
rnacentral:rRNA from 1 species